AGAGUUUGAAUCCUGGCUCAGAUUGAACGCUGGCGGCAGGCCUAACACAUGCAAGUCGAGCGGAUGAUGGGAGCUUGCUCCCGGAUUCAGCGGCGGACGGGUGAGUAAUGCCUAGGAAUCUGCCUAGUAGUGGGGGACAACGUUUCGAAAGGAACGCUAAUACCGCAUACGUCCUACGGGAGAAAGCAGGGGACCUUCGGGCCUUGCGCUAUCAGAUGAGCCUAGGUCGGAUUAGCUAGUUGGUGGGGUAAAGGCCUACCAAGGCGACGAUCCGUAACUGGUCUGAGAGGAUGAUCAGUCACACUGGAACUGAGACACGGUCCAGACUCCUACGGGAGGCAGCAGUGGGGAAUAUUGGACAAUGGGCGAAAGCCUGAUCCAGCCAUGCCGCGUGUGUGAAGAAGGUCUUCGGAUUGUAAAGCACUUUAAGUUGGGAGGAAGGGCAGUAAGUUAAUACCUUGCUGUUUUGACGUUACCAACAGAAUAAGCACCGGCUAACUUCGUGCCAGCAGCCGCGGUAAUACGAAGGGUGCAAGCGUUAAUCGGAAUUACUGGGCGUAAAGCGCGCGUAGGUGGUUUGGUAAGAUGGAUGUGAAAUCCCCGGGCNUCACCUGNGAACUGCAUCCAUAACUGCCUGACUAGAGUACGGUAGAGGGUGGUGGAAUUUCCUGUGUAGCGGUGAAAUGCG
rnacentral:rRNA from 1 species